GUAGGUGAACCUGCGGAAGGAUCAUUAAUAAUACAGCGAAGCGGAUCAGCGAAGCGAAGCUGAGCUGUAUGGCGAAGCGUAGCUGAGCUGGGAGUAGCUUCACUGAGAGUAGCGUAGCACAGUGAAGCAUGACUCAAUGAGACAGGAUUACUUCACAGCAGUGCUCACAUUGAUCUACUGUGGUCAUUGCUGUGCUGCUGCAUUGACUCAUGCCUCACAGCUCGCACUCAAGACCGAGCAAGAGAGUAAG
rnacentral:misc_RNA from 1 species